rnacentral:rRNA from 1 species
GACGAACGCUGGCGGCGUGCUUAACACAUGCAAGUCGAGCGGUAAGGCCCUUCGGGGUACGCGAGCGGCGAACGGGAGCGUAACACGUGGGUGAUAUGCACUGCACUUCGGGUUAAGCCUGGGAAACUGGGUCUAAUACCGGAAAUGACCUCCUAUCGCAUGGUGGGUGGUGGGAAGAUUUAUCGGUGCAGGAUGGGCCCGCGGCCUAUCAGCUUGUUGGUGGGGUAAUGGCCUACCAAGGCGACGACGGGUAGCCGACCUGAGAGGGUGACCGGCCACACUGGGACUGAGACACGGCCCAGACUCCUACGGGAGGCAGCAGUGGGGAAUAUUGCACAAUGGGCGAAAGCCUGAUGCAGCGACGCCGUGUGAGGGAUGACGGCCUUCGGGUUGUAAACCUCUUUCAGCAGGGACGAAGCGUGAGUGACGGUAACGGCAGAAGAAGCACCGGCUAACUACGUG